rnacentral:rRNA from 1 species
GUCCUUUUGAUCAGGACCUCAAUUGAGGUAGGAUCCAGCACCGCCACACUGUUCUGGUUCGAUUGAUGGACUGGAGACAUGCCCCUCAUGGCCUUUCCUGACCUAUUCUCCAUCAUGGCUGCCCCGUGGAUUUCUGUCGUGACUGCCCUUAUGGACUUGGGGCAACUCGCGUUCCAGAGACCUUUUGGCCCGGCUGAGAAUGCGGACUGGCAGGAGUUGCUUGAUAGCAUUGAUUUACACGAGUCUGAUCUCACGACUGAAGACGACCGAUCCAGAUGGCGGCUAGAGCCUUCUAGGCAAUUCUCCACUAAAUCUCUCUACGGCAUCGCCCCCUCACUUGGCCAUGAGUCUCUCACCUCCAUCUGGGAGAUUCGCCUCCCUCUGAAAAUUAGGAUAUUCUUGUGGCAAUGGAUUCGCGGUCGGCUCCCGUCCAGCGUAGAGGUCUUGAAGUGCAAUGGCCCUGGUGAUGGGCGUUGCCUGCUUUGUGGGCCUAAAGAAGAUUCGAACCAUAUCUUCUUAUCCUGCGUGUCCAGGCAGUUCCUAUGGAGCUGUUUCCACGAGAUAGUGGGUGGAAGUUGGGACCACAGCAACUUCCCCGCUCUCUUCGCCGAACUCCAGGAGAUCCCACCCGCGGUGCGCCACAUUAGGUGGUUGGCCAUUGGGGUACUUGCCUAG